CCUACGGGUGGCAGCAGUAGGGGAUAUUGCACAAUGGGGGAAACCCUGAAGCAGCAACGCCGCGUGGAGGAUGAAGGUUUUCGGAUUGUAAACUCCUUUUGUUAGAGAAGAUAAUGACGGUAUCUAACGAAUAAGCACCGGCUAACUACGUGCCAGCAGCCGCGGUAAUACGGAGGGGGCAAGCGUUACCCGGAUUCACUGGGCGUAAAGAGCGCGCAGGCGGGGUGGCAAGCCAGAGGUGAAAUCCUAGGGCUUAACCCUCGAACUGCAUUUGAAACUGUUAUGCUGGAGUAUGGGAGGGGUAGGUGGAAUUCGUGGUGUAGGGGUAAAAUCCGUAGAGAUCAAGAGGAACACUCAUGGCGAAGGCGACCUGCUAGA
rnacentral:rRNA from 1 species